rnacentral:tRNA from 1 species
GCCCGGCUGGCUCAGUCAGUAGAGCAUGGGACUCUUGAUCUUGGGAUUGUGAGUUCAAGUCCCACAUCGGGUG